CCUACGGGAGGCAGCAGUGGGGAAUAUUGCACAAUGGGGGAAACCCUGAUGCAGCGACGACGCGUGAGUGCAGAAAUAUUUCGGUACGUUAAACUCUAUCAGCAGGGAAGAAAAUGACGGUCCCUGACUAAGAAGCCCCGUCUGACUACGUGCCAACAGCCGCGGUAAUACGUAGGGGGCAAGCGUUAUCCGGAUUUACUGGGUGUAAAGGGAGCCUAGACGGCAGCGCAAGUCUGGAGUGAAAUACCAUGGCUUAACCAUGGAACUGCUUUGGAAACUGGGCAGCUAGAGUGCAGGAGAGGUAAGCGGAAUUCCUAGUGUAGCGGUGAAAUGCGUAGAUAGUAGGAGGAACACCAGUUGCGAAGGCGGCUUACUGGACUGUAACUGACGUUGAGGCUCGAAAGCGUGGGUAGCAAACAGGAUUAGAUACCCCUGUAGUC
rnacentral:rRNA from 1 species